rnacentral:rRNA from 1 species
AACGUAGGACACAAGCGUUAUCCGGAAUUACUGGGCGUAAAGGGCGUGCAGGCGGUUGAAUAAGUUAGGCGUGAAAGACUUCGGCUAAACCGGGGGAGGUCGUCUGAUACUGUUCAACUAGAGUGUGGUAGAGGCGUGUAGAAUUCCGGGUGUAGUGGUGAAAUGCGUAGAGAUCCGGAGGAAUACCAGUGGCGAAGGCGGCACGCUGGGCCAUCACUGACGCUAAUACGCGAAAGCAUGGGUAGCGAACGGG